AUUGAACGCUGGCGGCAGGCCUAACACAUGCAAGUCGAGCGAGGGGCGGACGGGUGAGUAAUGUCUGGGACACUCCCUGAUGGAGGGGGAUAACUCCUGGAAACGGUGGCUAAUACCGCAUACCAUCAGAUGUGCCCAGAUGGGAUUAGCUAGUUGGUGGGGUAACGGCUCACCAAGGCGACGAUCCCUAGCUGGUCUGAGAGGAUGAUCCGCCACACUGGAACUGAGACACGGUCCAGACUCCUACGGGAGGCAGCAGUGGGGAAUAUUGCACAAUGGGCGCAAGCCUGAUGCAGCCAUGCCGCGUGUAUGAAGAAGGCCUUCGGGUUGUAAAGUACUUUCAGCGGGGAGGCGUUACCCGAAGAGGAAGCACCGGCUAACUCCGUGCCAGCAGCCGCGGUAAUUC
rnacentral:rRNA from 1 species